ACACGGAGGAUCCGAGCGUUAUCCGGAUUUAUUGGGUUUAAAGGGUGCGCAGGCGGCCAUUUAAGUCAGCGGUUAAAUUGUGGGGCUCAACCCCAUUCUGCCGUUGAUACUGGGUGGCUUGAUUGCGGUCGAGGUUGGCGGAAUUCGUUGUGUAGCGGUGAAAUGCAUAGAUAUGACGAAGAACACCGAUUGCGUAGGCAGCUGACCAGACCGCAAAUGACGCUCAUGCACGAAAGUGCGGGGAUCGAACAGGAUUAGAUACCCUGGUAGUCCGCACAGUAAACGAUGAAUACUUGUUUUCGGCGAUAUAAUGUCGGAGGCAAAGCGAAAGCGAUAAGUAUUCCACCUGGGGAGUACGCCGGCAACGGUGAAACUCAAAUGAAUUGACGGGG
rnacentral:rRNA from 1 species